rnacentral:rRNA from 9 species
AAAUUGAAGAGUUUGAUCAUGGCUCAGAUUGAACGCUGGCGGCAGGCCUAACACAUGCAAGUCGAACGGUAGCACAGAGAGCUUGCUCUCGGGUGACGAGUGGCGGACGGGUGAGUAAUGUCUGGGAAACUGCCUG